rnacentral:snoRNA from 12 species
AUGGGUACCUGUAGAGAACCAACCAUGUGGACAAAGAAUAUCCCAGGCAACACACCGCAGUGUUCCUACAUAAACACGGAGGUCUCUGUCUGACUUUGGACAGCCACUAAGUCAGAUCGUUCCCUCCAUACAGU